GUGGCCCUGAAUCAAGGCCAACAAUUUGUCAUGGCUGCUAGUUUCAAACAGGAUCCUAAAGAGGAGUCUUUCUAAGAUGUCUUGACCAUUUCAGAAUUUUAGAAAUGUAAUGGUCAAUUCAUUAGAAAAAUAUAGCU
ensembl:snoRNA